rnacentral:rRNA from 1 species
UACGUAGGGUGCUAGCGUUGUCCGGAUUUACUGGGCGUAAAGCGUAUGUAGGUGGCCUUUUAAGUCAGGUGUCAAAGGCAACGGCUCAACCGUUGUACGCGCUUGAAACUGAAUGGCUAGAGUCUUGGAGAGGGAAGUGGAACGCAUAGUGUAGCGGUGAAAUGCGUAGAUAUUAUGCGGAACACCAGUGGCGAAGGCGACUUCCUGGACAAGUACUGACGCUGAGAUACGAAAGCGUGGGGAGCAAACAGG